rnacentral:rRNA from 1 species
GGAGCGACGCUUGUUGCCGCGACACCGCGUGCGGCUGACGGAUCUACGUUGGUUGCCACUUUCUUGAGGGAAGAAAAUGACGGUACCUCCUCAACAAGCCCCGGCCAACUACUUGCCGCCAGCCGCGGUAAUACUUAGGGGGCGAGCGUUGUCCGGAUUUAUUGGGCGUAAAAAGCUCCUAGGCGGUUCAACAACUCGGUCGUAAAAGUUCAUGGCUCAUCCCUGAAAUGUCGAUCGAUACUGUUGUGACUAGGAUACGGUAGAGGAGAGUGGAAUUCCUAGUGUAGCGGUGAAAUGCGUAGAUAUUCUUAGGAACACCAAUUGCUAAGGCAGCUCAUUGGGCCGCUAUCAUCGCUGAUGAGCAAAAGCUACGGGAGCAAACAGGAUUAUAUACCCUGGUAGUCCUACCUGUAAACAAUGGAUACUACACGUAGGAACUGGAUUGACGGUUUCUGUGUCGUAGCUACCACGUUAAUUAUCCCCCCUGGGGAGUACGGUCGCCACACUAAUACUCCUAGGAAUUGUUGGCGGA